rnacentral:tRNA from 1 species
GCAGUCGUGGUUCAGUGGUAGAAUUCUCGCCUUCCAUGCAGGAGACCCAGGUUUGAUUCCAGCUAAUGCA